GGGCGGGGAGGCGGGGCUUGGGCAUGGCCGGCUGCAGGUCCCAGGCCCUGCCCUGUGGGGAGGCGGCUGAGGCCCGCCUAGAAUUCAAGCGCGGCGCGUGUGGGCAGACAGUGCUGGGGAACCUGGCGCACCCUCCGCAGCUGCUGGCCCGGGUGCUAAGCCCCUCACUACCCAGGGUUGGUGGUGCCUGACUGCAGCUCCGACUGCGGGGCCCGUCAAGCCUGUGCCCACCGGGAACUCGCGCUGGCCCGCGAGCACCGCGCGGCAGCUCCGGUUCCCACGCGCGCCUCUGCCUGCAAGCAGAGGGAGCCAGCUCCGGCCUCGGCCAGCACAGAGAGCGCCUGCCACAGUGCAGCGGUGGGCUGAAGGGCUCCUGAAGCGUGGCUAGAGCGGAUGCCGAGGCUGAGGAGGCGUUGAGAGCGAGCGAGGGCCGCCAGCACGUUGUCGCCUCUCAUUAGGAAUGUUUUGAGCAUAAAUCUUCAAUAUUAUUCAUCCAGGAUCGAAGGUCUCCCUCUGUUGCCCAGGCUGGAGGACAGUGGUAUAAUCAUAGCUAACUGCAGCUUUGAACUCCUGAGAACAGCAAUCCUCCUUCCUCGGUCUCCCACAGCACUGGGAUUACAGGGAUUAUUGUGGAUUCCUGAGAAUUUUCUACAUAUGAAAUCAUGUCAUCAGUGAACAGAGACGUGUUUGCUUCCCCUUCCACCAUGAUUGUAAGUUUCCUGAGACCCCCUCAGCCAUGCAAAACUAUGGGACUGUCUCGUUGGAGGAAAACAAGCUCAGGGCUCCCACUGAUUCCACAUUAUGAAUAGAAAUUAUCAGCCCGAGAAUAAGAUGUCCCUAAUGCAUAAAGAGGUCUGCUAAGGAAAUGAAGCAUGCUCUUCAAGCGAGAAAGAAACUCUUUUCUGGAUUACAGUUAUUCUGACAGCCACAGGCCUCAUAGAACUAGCAUAGCCAAGAUUU